UUGAGUCAUCAAGCAUUGGAGAGAGAUCCUUUACUACCAUAUCCUAUGAUGCCGAUAAAGAUCUGAGAGACUGAGGUGCCCAUGACUGAUUAAUAAAAAGUAAUUCUGGAACCUUCGCCUCGUCUACAAGUGCUAGAGACAACAGCCUGGAUCCAUGAUUGAUGCCUUGAACCUUGUGGAUUUGUCAAACAAAUGUCUUGAAGAGUGAAACAGGAUCAUUUUCACACUGAACGAUCCCCUUAACAGGCAACUUUGAUCACAGGGAGUCCAAAUCCUCUAAUGAAAGUGCAGGUAUUCACCAGUAUAUAAUCACAGAUCUCAGUUUAUCAAAAGCAAACAUUCAUUAACACCAGCUAUUACCCAGCAUAUCUCCUUCAGGUUCAUCAAUUUGGAAUGGAAGCAAUGGGAGGAUUAAUUGGAAGAAUCCUCUCCAUCCACAACCCAUUUUCAGUGCUCUCACUGAGGGAAGGAGGUUGUCGCCCAAAAUUUCCUGGUACAUGGCCCCAUUCAUCCUCCCCUUGAUACGGUGAAGUCGUCCUGUCCCCUUAGCUGAGAAACACCCCCAAAGCAUAAGGUUUCCACCUCCAUGCUUCACAGUGGGGAUGGUGUUCUUGGGCUUGUACUCAGCAUUUCUCUUCCUCCAAACCCAGAGAGUCGAGUUGAUGGGUCGUGGAUGGGUCUUCCAACAUGACAAUGACCCAAAACAUACGGCCAAGGCAACACAGGAGUGGCUCAAAAAGAAGCAUAUUAAGGUCCUGGAGUGGCCUAGCGAGUCUCCAGACCUAAAUCCCAUCGAAAAUCUGUGGAGGGAGCUGAAGCUUUCAGUUGCCAAGUGACAGCCUUGGAACCUUAAGGAUUUGGAGAGGAUCUGCAAAGAGGAGUGGACCAAAAUCCCUCCCAAGAUCUGUGCAAACCUGGUGAAAAACUACAACAAACAUCUGACCUCUGUGCUUGCCAACAAAGGUUUCUCCACCAAGUAUUAAGUCCUAUUGUUCUAUCGAUCAAAUACUUAUUUCAUGUGAAAAUAUGAUAUUAAAUUUAUAAAAUUUAUAUGAUGUUGUUAUUGUGGAUUAUUUUGUGAUAUUCUGUCUCUCAAUGUUAAAAUGUACCUAUGAUUAAAAUUCUACACCGUUCCAUUCUUUGUAAGUGGGCAAACCUAGAAAAUCAGCAAGGGAUCAAAUAAUUAUUGCUCCCACUGUAUGUAACUUCUUAAAAAUACAUUCAAAAUGAAAAUGAAUGUUUUUCAUCAUGUUACACUUGUUCCAAUGUAAUAAACAACAUUGGAGUCAACAUUGGAAAUUCAAAAUAACGUCUUACCAUCAUAAAAAAAUCUUCAUCAUCAUCCUGGUAAUCUAUACAACGUUAUUCUUUUUUCAAAUGACAAUGCCCCUGGCAUUUUCUAGGGUCAGCUGAUCUGAGAAUUGUCCUAUUGGGUAAGACAGGAGCUGGAAGGAGCAAUACAGCCAACAGCAUUCUGGGAGAGGAGCUGUUCAAGACCUCAUGCUCUGCCAAUUUCCAAACACUGGAUUGUGAGGCAAAAACAAAAAUUGUUUCUGGGAGGAGCAUUACUGUGGUCGACACACCAGGGCUUCUUGCUAAUAAGAGUGCUGGUGAGGCACUAAACCCCAAAAUAGUGGAGUGCAUCAGAGACUGUUCUGCUACUCCUCACACAUUUCUCAAGCAGACAGCAGAGGACAUGCUAGUGUUAAAGACGUUAGAGGAUUGGUUUGGUGAGGAGGCUUUGAAGUAUGCUGUCAUACUUUUUACCCAUGGGGACCAGCUCAACCACAUGACCAUCCAGCAGUUUGUGGAUAAAAAUGACCAGCUGAAAUCAUUUCUCGAAAAGUGCAGAGGCCGAAUUCACGUCAUCGAUAACAAAUACUGGAAUAACACCACCAUAGACCAUGAUAGAAGCAAUGCCAUUCAAAUCAAAAAGCUGCUGAACACAGUUCAUGAGAUGGUGAAACGGAACGGAGGAGAGCACUAUACCAAGGACAUGCUCAGAGUUGUGAAAAAAGGUAACAAGGCUCAGCCUAGGGCCCAAGGAAAACCAGGGCAGAAAGUGACAAAAAUGUUUUUGAAAACAGGAGCAGGGCUUCUGUCAUUUAUUUCUGUAUGGUAUGCUAUUUCUCAUGGUGCAUGUAAGUCUUUAGCAAAGGGGGCUCUGUUAGGCGCAAUAUUUGGUGCUGCAGCAUAUGUAGCUAAAGCAAGGCACCUGAACAAAAUACUGAUGAUGCAUACAAGACACAGGGAAAAGAAAAUACGAAAUAAUAAAAAUGUAUUGACCAGUGAAAAUAAUAUUUGGUUGAUUAAUAUGCAGAAUGAAAUUGUUUCUUUUAUUUACCAAAAUACUUUAAUUUGUGACCCAGACUAAGCUUGAGAUACAUGUCUAGCACACAUUUUACAGUGCUACACACCAUUUACACCAUUUUACAGUGGAGACAAAAUACAUUAAAAUCACAAUCCAGUCACAUUUGAAAUAACACCAGAAUUGCUGAGGAUCAGAUCUAGAAUUUGCCUACAUUUCAAAAUUUGAAUUGCAUAAAUACAUUAAAUUUAAUUCCUCUGUGUCUGAUGAUAGAUUUAAGAAAUAUCUUCUUCUCUGGUCGAAAAUCUGUAUUUUUUAAUCAUUCUGUGGUAAACACUUCUGUUCAUUGGUAUGUGGAUAAUAACUACUGCUGUCACCACAGUCUAUAGACUACUGUUUGUUUUUCUAUGGUAAAUUAAUAUAAAAUGUAUAAUUGUACACUUUACCCAUAUAAAAGUGUAUAUAAUUCGGUAUUAUGUCAAUGUGUCAUUCACAGGACUGAAUGUUUCUGAACUUGAGCUAUAGAGUUGGUGUUUGGCGAGCUCUCAUGUUACUUGAACAGAGGAAAAUAAGAAUUAAUCUGUUUUCCGAAAACAAAAUCUAAAUUCUAGUAACUAGUCUACAUGGAGAAUUAAGGAAAAUUUGGCUAAUACUAGUUAUGUUCAGCCAAGCUCCUAUGGUGUUUUAAGUGUUACCCAAGGUAACUGCACCCUAGAAAGUAACAACUGCCCUGUGUCAGAGUGGCAACAGUCUGUGAAAUUCAAGUGCCAUCAGCUGUGGGGAUCCUGAGGUUUUGAAUUUGUAAUUUCAUAGUGAAACAAUUUUUGUAUAUGUUUUUACUGGCAAUUUCAUUAAAAUUCAGUCACAAGCAA